CUUGAUUCUUAAUUAAUGAAACCUUCCAAAUCAACAUAUAUAUUGUGUUAAAAUACAAAACAUUAUUUGACAACAAAUUUCAAUAAUAUGGUUUUGCUUUUGUAAAUAAAUCGAUAAUUAAAUGGAUAAUUUUUUAUCGAAUGCAAAAAUUUAUGCCAUUUAAAAUAACAUGAACUGAUUGAUUCAAUAACUCUUAUGAUUUAAUAAAAAGUUAAUUCUUUACAGUUUGAUUAUUUUGACAAUUAAAUAAAUAAUUUACUUUUAAACUAUUUUUUUUUAUAAUUAACAUUUUGAACUAGAUCAAUUUAUGAAUUGUUUACUUUAGUUCAAAAUGUUAAUUAUA
rnacentral:misc_RNA from 1 species